rnacentral:rRNA from 1 species
UACGUAGGGGGCAAGCGUUGUCCGGAAUCAUUGGGCGUAAAGAGCGUGUAGGCGGCCCGGUCAGUCCGCCGUGAAAGUCCAGGGCUCAACCCUGGGAUGCCGGUGGAUACUGUCGGGCUCGAGUCCGGAAGAGGCGAGUGGAAUUCCUGGUGUAGCGGUGAAAUGCGCAGAUAUCAGGAGGAACACCAAUGGCGAAGGCAGCUCGCUGGGACGUGACUGACGCUGAGACGCGAAAGCGUGGGGAGCAAACAGG